rnacentral:lncRNA from 1 species
UAACAAAAUCUUGCAUUCUGUAGCAGAUUUCUGUUCAUUUUCCUGAGAUUUGAGGAAGUCCCUAUUAUAGUCCUCAACCAUCUCUAGACCUUCUGAGAUGGCAAUUGGAAGGGCAUAUUGUACAAUGUGCUUUUUCUUUACCUGGGAGGGGGAACCCUGAGGAGAGGAUAGUUUGUUAAUGAGGUCAGGGAACGAGCAGAAGGCAAAGAAGGGAUGUAAGUAGUACAUCCUUGGUGAUGGUAACGCUGGUGGGAGAGAGCAACAAAGGGGGAGAGUUUCAGAAAGUUCCAAGUGCAAGUAGUUAUGUUCUUGCCUUUGUUAUGAAGUCCUUAAGAGAGGUUAUUUGGGAGUCAGUAUUUCAUUUUGAGGCCUUGGAAUAUCAAUCAAAGAAGCCAGCCAUUGAAUAGUAGGUAUUUUGCCUCUCCUUUGGAGUUCCUCCUAAAUCUAUUGUUUUUUUGACAUACGGGAAGUUUCCCAUAAAGACCAUUGAAUUCUAAACCAUUCUUAGGGAAAUGCCACCUUUUACCAAGAUAGGUGCAAGAACUAAGAUUGUAGUGAGAGGGCAUUUAGGAAGCAGCGCUUCUGCCAGGUGGACACUUUGGUUUUGAUGCAGAUGAACCCAUGACAAACCGAAAAAUGGGCCAUGGUGAAGAGUCAAAAUGGCAUCAUGACGAAUGGUGUCUCACACACCCAACUAAACAGAGUCUAUGAAGGAACUGCGCUGAUCUUAUAUCACAAUUCGAUGACACAUGAAGCAUCAUUAUAAAGGUUUUGCUGAGGUACUCAAGGUAAAUGUUGACCAAUUGCUUCUGCUUGAAUUGGUUGCUGGGCUGAUGAACCAUUAGUCAUGGGUCUAAUGGACCCAUAACUAUUAGUCAGUGGAGACAGUGUGGACCAGAGGCUUAAUGAGCUUAUGCCUCCAUCUGUAACCUAUGGAGUACUUCCUUGUAACACUCAACAUACACAAGACAAUCAAGGACAACAGAAAAACAUGAAGGCCAAGAUGAUGCAUAAAUAGAAAAAUGAAAAGUGAAAGUAAAUAAAGCAAUGGAUGAAUAAAAGGAAUAAUGGAGGGAGGACGAACAAAACAGUUUACCUCCAAACCAAAACAUUUAUUUCCCUUCAAUAAACACCUAUUUGCUUACAAAUCCAAGAACUGUACAAUAAAUUCAGCAGUGAGACCUCAUAAAACCCGUCAGAGCUCAGAUCACUGUUGGGAACGACUCACCUCCCAGAGAAGGUAGAGGAUGAUCAGGGUGAAGUAAAAGGGGCUUGAUGAGCAUACCAGUUAAUGUGAGGUUCCCACAGAAUGCCACUGAGUAAGGGUCUUCAAACCAAUAUCAGAGCGCCUCCAAUCGUGAAGGAAGAGACUGUCACUCACACUACGGUGGAACAAAGAUGCUGAAGUUAUUCCUUGCUAAGCAGGAGAGAGCUGUACUUGCAAAUCAUAGUCUCUGAACAGCGCUAAGAGCUGAGUUUUGCAGAGUUUGGGGAAACGGAGUUUGGGGAUCAGAGGACCUUCCGCAGUAGGAGUGUUUAGGGGUUGAUUGGCUUUCAGAACCAUGGUCACGGCAGUGUGGGUGUUGCUGACGGACUUCCAGGACUACGAGUGCUGAAAUGAGGCUGUCCCUCACUGAUUGGGAUACUCAAUAAAACACCUAGAUUAACAUAAACAAUUAUGCAAAGAACAAAGUUGGAGAACUUUCACUUCCCACUUUCAAAAUUUACUAUAAAACUAGUUAUAAAAACAGUGGUAGUAUGGCAUAAGGGUAGAUUCAUGGAAGAGAAUUCAGAGUCCAGAAAUAGAUCUUUAUAUUUAUAGUCAAUUGAAUUUGAAGAAAGUGCCAAGGAAAUUCAUUGGGGAAAAGAUAGCCUGUUUGACAAAUGUUGCUGAGACCAUUAAACAACCAAUGCAUAAAGAUGAACUAGAGCUUCAUGUCACACCACACACAAGUGUUAACUCAAAAUGGAGGAUAGACUCAAAUGCUAUAAACUUUAAAAAAAAAUAAGGGACAAUCUUUAAGACUUGGGCUAAGCAAAGAUUUCCUAGAUACAACACCAAAAGCAUAGUCCAUAAAAGAAAACAAUAUCUAUAUAGGAUGUUGUUAAAAUUUAAAUUUUUACACUUUAAAAGAGAUCCUUAAGAAAAUGAAAAUACAAGCAACAGACCUGGAGAAAAUGUUUUCAAUAAUUCCUAUCCAAGAAAGGACUUGUAGCCAGAAAUUAUAAAGAACACUUACAACUCAAUAAUAAGAAGACAACAAACCAAUUAAAAACGGGAAAAAGAUAUGAAGAAACAUUUCACCAAUUAAGAUUUACAAAUGGCUAACUGUACAUGAGAGAUGUUCAACAUCAUUUGUCAUUUAGGGAAACGCAAACCAAAACUACAAGGAGGUAACAUUCACACAUGCUAAAAUGAGUGUAAUAAACAAGACAGACAAAAACAAGUGUUCACGGGAUGUGAAGAAAUGGGUACUUUCACAUAUUGUAAAGUGGUGCAGCCACUUUGAAAAAUAUUUUGGCAGUUUCUUAGAAAGUAAACUAUCAUGAGAGCCAGCAAUCCCAUUCCCGGGUAUCUACCCAAGAGAAAUGAAAACACUGCAUAGCGCUUGAACAUUCAUAGCAGCGUUAUUCAUAAUAGCAAAAAAUUGGUCACAGCCUACACGUCCACCCCCUAGUGAGUGGAUAAUUGAAAUGUGGUGUAUCCAUACAAGGAAUAUCAUUCAGUCAUAAAAAGUAAUGAAGGACUGACACAUACAACAGCAUGGAUGAACCUCAAAAACACUAUGCUAAGUGAAAUAAGCCAGAUGCAAAAGGCCACGUAUUGUGUGAUUCCAUAUGUUAAAUGUCCAGAAGAGAUAAAUCUAUAGAGACAAAAAGUAGGUUAGUUGUUGCCUAGGGCUGGGAGAGGGAACAGAGAUGAACUCUCGAUGGACAUGAGUGAUCUUAUUGGGGGGAUUAUAAUGUUCUAAAACUGAUUUAUGGUGAUGGUUGUACCACUCAGUAAAAUUACUAAAAUUCUUGAACUGCACGCUUGAAAUGGGUGAAUUUGAUGUUAUAUAAAAUGUAAUUCAAUAAAGCUGGUAAACAACAAUAAAACAAAAAAUAGGCUAUGGUGAAAGAUCAAGAUGUGUUAAAUAAAGAAAAUGAAUAGAUGAGUGUCUAUGAUAUAAAUCUCUACUUUUUCCAUAUUUGGAAUAUUUCAUAAAUUUUAAUUUGAAUAAAACAAACACUUUUCCUAUCUCAAAUAUGGCAUUAUCGCUGGGAGUGUAUACUGUCAAGAUUGUAAGGUGCACACGAGGCUGUUUUUUAUUUAAGGGCUAUUGGCAAUCUACACUUGACAAUUGCCCACUGAUUUUCUGCAUCUUCAGCAACACCUCAUUCAGAGCCAGGCUCAGAGGGGACACUUGUUAGCUUGAUUCGACGCCUUCUGUUUGCCUAGUUUCCACUUCAAAGCCAGGUAUAGGGCUUGGGCCUCAAUGAAUGAAGUAGAGGCAGACGUGCAGGAGGAAGGACUCUGCAACACCAGAGCAAAGAUGUAGGUAGUGAUUCCCCAAUCCCAUCCCGAAGGGACCUACAACCAUCUACGUGGCUGACUGUGCUCAGGUCCAAAGCCAGAGUCAGAAGGAGAGGGUGGGAACAAAGGGAGUAGGACAAACCACGCUUGUGCUCCUCCCACUCGCUGACUCUCCUCCCACCAUCACACAGUCCCUCAAGUCAGGAACCUAAAACCAUCCUUGGUUCAGUCCUUUAUCUCACCUCUCACCUCUCAAUAAUCACCAGCUCUUGCUGAUUUUUCUCUCUUAAAUGUUUCAUUUACUCCACUCCUCUUUGGCCCCACCGACCCUGCUCUGUUGAGGUCCUCACCAUUCACCCCCAGAUGGUCUCCCUUCCUCCAGUCUUCUCUCAGAAGCCCAGUCGUCACAUUCCUAUUUAGGCGAUAUAUCUAGAGUGCAAAAUCGACCCUCAUGCUCAACCACACAAAAACCUUAAAUUGCCCCCAAAUUCUGAGAGGAUGAAGCCCGAGCUCCUAGCCACCCUACAUCCUUGACAGAGCAUCAGGGUAAUCUCUGCCUCUUCCCAUCCACAGAACGGCAUGUGGGCCGCAGUAACUGCCAUGCUGUUUCACACUCCUGUGAUUUUGUGCAUGCCUCUUCCCACAUCUUCACUGGAAUAACAGCUGCUUGUGCUGCCAUUCUCAGUUCAGGCAUCAGCCUCUAUAGAGAAUAUUUCCGGACGAUGCCAGACCACAUUAGGUGACUCUUCUCUGACCUCCUGAGCAUCCUGUGCUUACCUUUGUCAUGUGUUAAUUAAGGGUAAUGGCUCCAGAUUCAGACCGCUUGGGGCUGAUUCCCAGAUCUACUAUUCGCUAGCUCUGUGACCUCAGCCAAGUCACUAAACUUCUCUAAAUCUCUACUUCUUCAUCUGCAAAAUCUAGAUAAUAGUAUUUACCUAUAUGAGCCAAGACUUAUUUGGGUGCAAGUCAAAGAAACCCAACUUAAACUUAUUUAAGCAAAAGUGAGGCAUUGUUUUUGGUUAAUGUAAUAGAAAAGUCCAGUAGUGUAAUGACUUCAGGCAUGGCUGGAUCCAGGUGCUCAAAGAAUGUCACCAAGAAGCUGUCUGUCUCCCUUUCUCAACUCUGUUUUUCUCUGUGUUAACUUCAUUCCCAGGCAAAAUCUUCCUUCAUAGUUGCCAUUGAUGGUUUCAGUCUUAUAUCUUCAGAGCUAGGUAAUCUCAAGGGCAAGAAAGAGCUUCUCAUUCCAAACAGGUUUAAAAACAAAGUGGACUGUCACUAGAAUGGCUUGUCGUAUCAUAUGCCACCCCUGAACAAGUUGUCUUUUCCAGGAGGUUAUAAUGAACCGAUCAACCAUUUUUGGAUCAAGCACCAAAUUUUCAGAACUUGAGGUCAGGGCCCUCCAGCAGCACUGCUCUUGGACCAAAACAAAAGGAGUCCUAGUCCUUUAUCCCAUUCUUUAGAGGGACCUACAUCUUACAAAGAUAAGUAGAAACAGGUUUAUUAAAGAACAUAAGGGUGUGUCUUUCACUGAGGAUCCAGCCCUCCCUGCAGCCUGGAGCUAAAUACCAUCCUCCUUAACUUCACUGUUCAGGUUGCUGGGAAAGGCUUGUCCACACUUCCCACCGAUGUGCUUGAAGCAAAAGGUGACAGCGUUCCACGCUGCGGAGGUUUGGGUCAUGGGCAGUCAGCAGAGGACACAGACACUUCUUAGAGCACAGGUGGGAGGGGCAGGGUCUCAAAGCCAGAGGACCCUUGAGGAGGUCUGAAAUAGCCACUCUGCGAAAUAGAAAAGGAUUGCUGGAGCAGAUUCAAACUCCCCAACCCCCACCUUUCCUCUACACAGGAUUCAUUAAUUAUGCCCAGAACAGGUCAUCUCUAAUAUUCCUGACUCUGGCUGAGCAUCCAACAUGAAAGGAGAAAUCGCAUCAGCUGGAAGGCAGGCAGGGCCGUCCCUGAGACAGGCCCACUUCUGCCUCAUUUCACCAUCAACUGCUUGCCUCUGGCUCCCUGAAGUGCUCUAGUUGAACUCUCAAGGGUCCCCGGAAAUGGACUUGAAGAAUGAAGAAACCAAAGUCAAGGCCAUUUAUUUUUAACUAAAUAUACCCUGAGUUCCCACUGAAAGUGAGCGUGGCCUGAUAGCAGAGCCAAAGAAGGCAAGAUGUUUGCUUCUCCAGCACUGGGAGAGAAACCGAACAGGAAGCCAGUUACCGAAGAGCAGAGGCAGAAGAUAGCAGUCUACGCCCUGGGAGCUCCGGGCCCCUUCAGUGGACAGCCUGACCUCGCCACUCCCCGCUCCCAGUGCACAUCCAUCUCUUUGCCUUGGCCCAUGCUAGGCCCUCUGCCAGGGACAUCUCCUACACUCACCUCCCUCAUCCAAACCCUCUCAGACUCACCCCUUACAACACCCAGCUCAAACGCCACUUCCCCACCAUCCGCAGCUCACAGUGACGUCUCCCGCUCUGCUCCCACAGUGUUAAUUCUCCUCUCUACCUGUCCUUCCUAUCUCAGCUUAAAGAACACCCGCCCUGCACAGGUGAGGUCUACCUGCCUCACCUCCGCAUAGCUCCUUUAUGUGUUUGAUGGCACAAAGCACGCUUUGUGAACAUAGAUUUAUUUUUGCUGUAAUUUAUUUAAUGUCUGUUUCUCCCACCAUAUUGGCUACGUGAGUGUUAACUGAGCUGCGCCUGUUUCAUCCAUCAUGGCGGCCCUUCAUGCCUGGUAUUGUGCCCGCCAGGCAUCUAUCUCCCUAGCUGCACAUAUAUAUUGUAAAUAUGUGUCUAUUUGUUGAAUAAAUAAAUAAAUAACAAGAUAAAUGAAAGAAGUGGCCCCUGGAAGGAUGUUGGAGUAGAUAGCCUUGAAAAUCCCUUUUACUUUUAGAAUUCAGUAAGAACACCUUUUUAGACAAGAAGCGGAAACACAGGUUCUGCUCAUUUAGAAAAAGUCCUCUGAGAAAAAUUAGCUUUCCUUGUCUCAGCUGUCUAGCAGGGUGUGGAGGUGUGUGUCUUGGAGAUAAAGACUUAGAAGGUGCUUGUUCCACUUGAGGGAGAAACGACUGGUGGGGACAGACCAGCGACGGAGCCGUUUGGAAAGCCAAGAGCAGACGAGCUUCUAAUGGCCCCGCAGCUGCAGACGAGGAGUCCAGAUGGGGUCUCUGAAAAGCUGAAGCCCCAACACGCAAAAUUGCUCAUUCUGCCAUUUACUUAACUCACCCAUAGCAGCACAAAAUGCUUCCCAGCUUUGUUUUGAUACAUUCAAUUGAAAAUAAAUAUUAGGCCCAGCUGUCUGCACUCUCCAAUUUAAGCGAUGAAAUCAUGACCAAAUAAUGGACUUGUUCCUCACCUCUGGCAGGCUCUCCUCCUACCCGGUAGUCACCCACAGGGUCUGAAUGGAUUUAUGGAGUUUAUGUUCUGGCCCCUUCAACUUUAAAAACUGAACUAAAAUGAAAUCAUCCAGAAUAUUAGGCUGAACUAGCUGUGUUACUAACUAGCAAUUGGCCCUGGGGAAAUCAUGUGACUUUCCUGGAACUUGGCUUCUUAACACACAAAAUGAGGAAUAAAGAUCAUAUGUGGAUU